UCCUGAUUGGUGAUACCGAGUUCUAUAU
rnacentral:piRNA from 1 species